GGAAAGGUGCUCGAGUGGCUUAAGAGGCACGCCUGGAAAGCGUGUAAACCCCAAAAGGGUUUCCUGGGUUCGAAUCCCGGUCUUUCCG
rnacentral:tRNA from 1 species